UACGAAGGGGGCUAGCGUUGCUCGGAAUCACUGGGCGUAAAGCGCACGUAGGCGGACUCUUAAGUCAGGGGUGAAAUCCUGGAGCUCAACUCCAGAACUGCCUUUGAUACUGGGAGUCUCGAGUUCGGGAGAGGUGAGUGGAACUGCGAGUGUAGAGGUGAAAUUCGUAGAUAUUCGCAAGAACACCAGUGGCGAAGGCGGCUCACUGGCCCGGAUACUGACGCUGAGGCACGAAAGCGUGGGGAGCAAACAGG
rnacentral:rRNA from 1 species